rnacentral:lncRNA from 1 species
CACACACCGGGAAGCCGCCGCUGCGGAGCCGAGGCCGCCGCCGCUGCGCAUCUCGCGCUCUCCGCUGGGCGCUCGCGGGGGCGGCGAGGCGGUUGUGCGGGCCCCCGGGAGGGAGGCGGACACGCGAGAAGAACGGCAAAUGACAGAGCGGAGGGAAGGCUGGCCCAGCCAAUCCUGGAGCCGCUGCAGCACUGGUUCCCCAAACAAACACAUUCUGGUGCAAGGACAGAGAGGAGGGGGCUGCUGGCCCACACCCCUCCCCUGCCGGUAGCCCCCUGGCCGCUCCCCUGUGGGGAGGGCAGCUGGACAGAGGCUGCCCUGGGCCGGGCUGGUGAUGGUGCUGCGGCCCCUCCCUGCUGCCCAGCGUGGGAGGAAGAAGGCAGAGCCAGGUACCCCGUCGGGCUCGUUCACAGCGGCUGUUUCAUUUGUGCCUCAUCCCACCCCUGCGAGGAGCGGGCCGUGGCUGAGUAACAAACUUCCCUCAUCCCGUCGCCUUCUUCUUAGAAGAGGAGGCGGAGGAGACGGAGGUGGCGUGGGCUGUAGCAUCUUCGGAGCAGGAUAAAGAAGCCCUGGAACCCGGAGGAGCUUCUGCAUCGGGAAAACGCCAUGGGAACGGAGCCUUGAGCAUUGGUGGUGGCAGAGUGAGGGUUAACCAGUGAGCCUUCCUGGGAGCUUUUUGAUGCCAGUGUGUCGGGAGCUGGGAGAUGGAGCACUCAGCCGAGCGGCCAGGACGUUCUGUCAACAUGAAAGCAGCAAAAACAGCUUGUCGGGGCUGGGAGCUGACCCUGGGCUGGGGUCAUUUUCAGGAAGGGCUUGGCAGAGGGAAGGACACCGCCAGGCAUCGGGUUGGGGGCGACGUCCAGUAACUCAUGAGGGCUCUGUAGACCCUUGAAUUUGAGAAUCGGAAAAGAAAACGCAGCUGUUUUGUGCUACUAGGUGAGCUUGGCCAGCGGGAUCCCUUCCUGAGGUUCUCUCUCUGGCCCCUAAGGCGAGACCUCUUCCCAGGUCCAGCCGUGGCUCCUCGCCUUGAAUGGAAGGUGACACGGUGGGCCUCGAGCUCCUGACCUCUGGGUGUAGCUGCGUGGCAUCAUGGCGGCUCAGGGUUCCAGGCCCUUCUGGCCUCUGCGGCACUGCGCUAGGCGCGCGUGACAUCCCCGCCCCGCCCGCCCGCCGUGCCUUCCCGGGCGCAAGAGAGAGGAUGGGCCUCCACUGCCACUGAGUCUCGGCCGAGCCUUGUCCCCAGCGUCUGGUCGCCCCUCUCUCUUCCCCCAUGGCAGCCAGCAUCUGGGCAGAGGGACACACACCUUGGGGGGCCCUGGCUCUGGGGCUCUCGGCCCCCUUGCCGUGUGCCAUUUUUCAGCCUCACGCUUUCCUGAGGAUGAUACCAGCGCUGACAUUUGUCGCUGAGCGCCUCCUCCUCUCCCCAAGGACCUCCCCGCGUGACUCGUUUGGUUUCUAGGAGUGGCCCUGGGGCCUUGGGAGCCAGAGGGAGCAGGGGAGUGAGAGGGGUGGGGGGUGGGAGUGGGCCGAGCCGCCCCACGCAGAGGCAGGCCCAGCUCCUUGGCGUCGUGUCUUUUUCAGCCUGGGAAGAGAGCAACUUGACCUAAAAACAAGUGUAUCUCCGUGAGUGUUGGGUCCUUUGUGGCUCCUUGUCCUGAAGCUGUGCCUCUGAUGAGAGCCCAGGGUCUGUGUUUCAGAGAGGUCUGGGGUCCCUCAGGCUCGUUUUUAGAGAGGUGAUGCGUGGGCGUGAGGAGACCCCGUGCCCACUGCGACUCGCCUUUCUCUGGGACGCAGGGCCCGGCAGGUCUUGCUUCGGUCAUUGGAUGGGGAGCCGCAGCGGAGGUGGAGUCCUGGGGCCACAUAGCAAGUGCAGAGGGGACCCUGACUGCCUGGUUGGUCCUGGACCCUGAGCCCCCCUUCACUUCUUCCCUGCAGAGAACUCAGAGGAGCUCAGCUCUGCGAGUAGGUGACGCCCUCUCGGAGACACAGGCUCAGCUGCUGGUGGUGCUGGUGUGCGGACCAUCGUGUGGGAUGAAUGGGCGCCCGUUUGCAUGUAUUUGGAACAAAAAGAAGGAGAUGCCUGGCAGCCUGGCAGCCUGGCGCUCUGCAAUGCUGGUAGAUUAUUCAGAACCACGUGGAUGAGGGCGCCGAUGCAGGUACCGAUGGAUGUGACGUGGUCCCGGUCUUGUGAGCGAACCAUCACCAGGCUGCUUAUUGGAAACCUCGCGCAGCCAGGACCAUCAGGGUGCACCUGCCCUGCCUCCCAGAGGUCCCUGGACCAGGGACUGAACCCGCGCCACAGCAGUGACAACGCUGGACCCUUCACCUUCCACACCACCAGGAGCUCCUUGAGCGUCCAGAGUUAGACCUCACCUGAGCCUAAAGUGUCACUUCCGAGUCCAGCUUCCGGGGGUCAAGUGGAUGCUUUGAGGGACGGGCAGCAGUGUUGGUGGUUCUCCUUCAGAUCUGCCUUGCUUUGGACCCGUGAACUGCGGAGCCCCGAAACCAGCAUUCCCAGUGGCAGGAAGAUGGAUGACCAGGCUCCACUUCCCCGGCUCCUCCCCCACUCUGGCUGGAACUUGCGUCAGGCCCGUAAGUCGCUGUGACUCAGCACCCAGCCGGUGGGGAGGGAGGGAGAAGCUGCCGCCUCGCAGGAACCUUCCUGGCGUUCUGGAUUUGAACACACGGUGGUAGCGCAGAACCAGCCAGCAGCAUUCUGUUCUCAGAGGCCAAUAUCUGUUUGUUCUGUGGAUUUGCACACGGAUUUCACAAACAAGGGUUCACUUCCUUCUUGCUUUCCUUCUAUGUUAUUUGGGGGUGGGGGUGGCACCACGCGGGCCAUCGGAUUUUGGGGACUUGAAACGACACAGACAGCGUCGUUUCUAGGCUGCAGGAGAAGCUCUCCUUGCCAUCUAGAUUCGUGUUUAACCCCCAGAUGUUUGGUUUCCUUUUAAAAAUCGUGUCAGACUCUGCAUGCCUUUAGACAAAACAUGGCCCAUCCGGGUCACUUAUUUCUGCUGCACGUUGUUGCUGCUUCUGUGUCUUCAGCUUCCUGCCCGACCCCUCUGUGCAUUUGAACAUGUCGUGACGGGCCUGUGCCAGCCCCGCUCUUUCGGGAUGGACACUCCCAGGCCCGUUCCAGGAAAGCACAGGCCAGUCCCCGGAGCCCGGGCUGAGCAGGAGUCCAGCUUGCUGUGUUCCAACCCCCUGUGCGGGUCAGGGGGACCUUCCCUCCACCCUUGGGUCCCUGCCCAGGCGGAGCAGUGGAAACACCUCCAAAGAAAAUAUAGGCAUAGAAGUAGCCUUGGGUGACACUGUGGCCCCCAGACCCUCUUCCUGCCCAGCGGUAUCUGCAAUGCUGACAAUCCUGCCGGAGGAUCCUGCCCCUGCCUUUGCCAGCAGAGCCCUGGGGGGGCCGGGGCUGCUGCUUCCAGAUCAGGGUGACCCUCGGGGUGGGUGCCAAGAAGAGCAAGCCACUUCCAGCUGCACCUCACCACCUGGCCACAUGCAACUAGGGAACAAAUGCAGCCGCUGGUUUCGAGAACUAGGAGCAUUUUAGAACUCACGAGUAGGGCGCCCAACCUCUGGUUCCUGUCUCUAAGCUCCCUGGGCGCAGCCUCCCCUCUGGACUCAGGGCGGACGCUUCCUGGGUGGUAGGGGAGACGUGACCGGACGACCUCGGUGUGCUCUGAAGGAAAAGCAGCGUCACCAAGAGCCAGCCCAGACCGGGAGCUCUCCCAGGACAGGCUGGCUGGGCGAGCCCUGGAGGCGGCUCCAGGCCACCAGGCUUCCUUGGGGGAGGGGCUGGGGGAGGGCUGGUGUCACGGGAGAGUGGAUGCAGAGCAUCCCAGGACGAGGGAACCGCAUGUGCCAAGGCCUCGCGGUGGAGGAGGAGGCAGUCUGGAUCACCCAGCGACUCCUGGGGCCACAUCUUAGGAUAGGGUUUGUGGGGAGGGGCAUUGGGCAUUGCCAAGGCAGGCGUUUGGCUGACGUGCCGAGCAGGAAAGCUGGGAGUGACCAAGUGCCACUCUCCGACCCCCUCGUGUCUAUAGGAGUCAGGCCCUACCGCAAAACAGUCAUUAGCCCUCACUCCUGACCCUCAAGCCUUAGCAGUCACCUGACCCACAACCGCUCCUGCCCUGCUGAUGGCAGGGGUCCUCACUCUGAGCCCUGCAGGCAGUGCCCACCCCCAGCCCCAGUUCUCUUAUCUGUGACCAGGACCUCGCCAAACACCAGAGCUGCAGAGCUCAGCGUGGACGUCAGGAUCCCUCAGGCGAGCAGCCCCAGCGCUGCAGGGCGCUCAUCCCAGAGGCUUGCCCACUCCUGCAGCCGCGUGGUGGAGACGGCAGAGGCGCCAGAGGUGCAGGAGAAGUACAAAUAAGAUGUGCUUGUCUGUGGCCCCCAGCGGGAGGAGAGUGCUGCGCGGAAGAAGAGGAAGGGGCUGAAUACCAGCGACGCGGCCCCAAAAGGAAGGAACUGUGGCGCAACAAAGGGGACAAAAACCAGCGGGAAUGCUACCGAGUCUCACUGGGGAGAGCUGACCACGAGGUUCCUACAUCCUGGCUCUCCCGGUUCCCCACAGGAACCUGGACCAGGCAUUCGGCGCAAGAGGGUGCUUGGAGUUGGAAGCCUUAUCCGGCAGAUACAGAUGCCACAUUUCCCUGCGACCUGUUUACCGUUGAGGGCGCGUGGCCGGAACCGAGUAAUGUAAACUCGCGUUCAGAGAAGGACGCUGUAUGAGGGGAAGGGUCCUGGUCUUCAGCACCUUAAACUGAGAGGCGAUCACAGAGCAGGUGUCGGCUCCAUGCCGAUGCCGCGUCCUGUGCAUCUUGCACGCGGAGGAGUUUCUUCCCGCCGCACAAGCGUUUUCCCACGAGGGACGAUCUCCGUAAAACUUCAUGGAUGACCUUUCAUUUUCCUGGGAUGCGUCCAAACUUCAGCAAUGUGUUCCCUCGACUAACGACGAAACCUUUGUCAUGUAUUAGCUGCUGUUUUAAAGUUUUUGAAACCGCUGUGGAAUGCCCAAGAAUUUGAGAAGAGGGUUUAAAAAAUGUUCAAGUUAUUUUGCUCCUUCACCGUUUUGGCCCAAGUCAUGCUACUCCCUACCACCUGAACUGGAUUAACUACAGUACAGUCAAAAAGCUUCAGUAAGAUUCCUUUAAGCAGGAGUUCCUGUCGUGGCGCCGUGGUUAACGAAGCCGACUAGGAACCAUGAGGUUGCGGGUUCGAUCCCUGCCCUUGCUCAGAGGGUUAAGGAUCUGGCAUUGCCAUGAGCUGUGGUGUAGGUCACAGACGCGGCUCGGAUCCCGCAUUGCUGUGGCAGCUACAGCUCUGAUUCGACCCCUAGCCUUGGAACCUCCAUAUGCCUAGGGAGCGGCCCAAGAAAUG